rnacentral:rRNA from 1 species
AGUGACCUGCGGAGGGAUCAUUACCGAGCGAGGGCGCUCUGGCCGCCCGACCUUCCCAACCCUUUUGAUUUUGAUCAACACCUCGUUCUGCCUCGGGGGCGACCCGGACCUUUCGCGGAGGGGUCUCCCGGUGGACACCUCCAACCCCGCAUCAAUCGUCGUCCGAGUACCAAUGAAAAAAAUUCAAUCAAAACCUUUAACAACGGAUCUCUUGGUUCUGGCAUCGAUGAAGAACGCAGCGAAACGCGAUAAGUAAUGUGAAUUGCAGAAUUCAGUGAAUCAUCGAAUCCUUGAACGCACAUUGCGCCCUUUGGCAUUUCCGAAGGGCAUGCCUGUUCGAGCGUCAUUACACCAAUCACGCCUGGCGUGCUGGUGGGCCGACGGGGCCCCACCGCCCCGCGCCCCAAAGACCCCGGCGAGACGGACCGAAUCUCAGCGUUGUGGAAACAGGCCGCUGGCGAGACGGGACGGCUGCGCCGCUAAACACCCCCCAUCACAGGUUGACCUCGGAUCAGGUAGGGAUACCCGCUGAACUUAAGCAUAUCUUGGGCGCGGAGGAUUCAGAUCCGGUAGAUACCCCGCUGAACCCGCCUACCUCAGCUGAAGAAAAAGACAUUGUAAUUUUUUGGGCCGCGUAAG